rnacentral:lncRNA from 1 species
AAAUAUAUAAUACAUAAUAUGUGCCCAAUAGUUUUACUGAUCCACAACACAUAACAUAUAUGCAAAGUUGCACAACAAAUUUCAUGAUCCAUAUAUCAAAAUUCCAUAGCAUCCAUACAUCCAAAAUUCCAUAGCAUACAUAUAUACAUAUAGUUCCAUAACAUCCAUACAUACAUAGCUCCAUAGAAAAUAUAAUACACAACGAUACUUUGCAGGCAUUAGUAAGUAAUAUUUGGCACUAAAACAAAUGCCUUCAUGUCCAUAUCGUAGUCCAAACAGCAUCCGCGUGGCAACCUAC